GAUGAACGCUGGCGGCGUGCUUAACACAUGCAAGUCGAACGGAAGGACGCGAAGCUUGGUUGUCGGGUGGUAGCCGGGGGCGGGAGAGAAACGAGUGGAUACCGUACUUGUAAGUAUGGGAUCACAAGGGGAAACAGGAGCUAAUACGGGAUGAGAUUGUGAACCGCAGGGCUGAAAGGAGAGAUACGGCCUGGGUGUCUCUAGUAGCUGGAUCCGGGCUGCAUUAGCUAGUUGGUAAGGUAACGGCUUGCCAAGGCGACGAUGCGUAGCCGAGCUGAGAGGGCGAUCGGCCACACUGGAACUGAGACACGGUCCAGACUCCUACGGGAGGCAGCAGUGGGGAAUCUUCCGCAAUGGGCGCAAGCCUGACGGAGCAACGCCGCGUGCGUGAUGAAGGUCUUCGGGUCGUAAACCUCUUUUAUUAGGGAAGAACAGAUUUUGACUUAACUGUGGACAUCUUGACGGUACCGAAUCAAUAAGCCCCGGCUAACUACGUG
rnacentral:rRNA from 1 species